GGUAAUGUUCAAAUUUUCUUUACAGGCAUGUCAAAGACCUCAUAAUCCUAACAUCCGGUGUAUGUUUACUCAGUACCAUUUCUCCAUACUUCUGGUUGCUCUGGCUGCUGGCUCCUUGCAGAGGUAUGCAAAUGCUGUGGACAAAUAUCCUUGGCCCAUGGUUCUUCCAGCCAGCUCCUGAAGAACCACAAGACAAGAACCUUGAGAAGAAACAGCGGAGAUUAGAGAGAAAGAUGAAGUACCGUUAAGCCUCAGCUUCAUUUUUCUUAUUUCUGUUUGAAGAUUUGUUGUUUUUUUGCAAUUUUAUAAAUUGCACACUACAAUUAAUUUAUUUCUAUUGAGUAAUAGGGAAUUUUAAAGUAGGUUUCCCUCUUACAGAUGGAAUUGCUAUUUGAUAUGUUGUAAAAUAACAGAUUGUAGAGUGCAUAGGGAUUGGUUCAUUGUUAGCAGAAUAUUUCUGUUGGAAUUAUUUUUGUAUUCCUAUCAGUUGUUUCUUUUUGUACCUGGAAUAUUUAUAGUAGAUUCAAACAUAUUAAAGGUACACAAAUCCUUAUGCAGUAUGCCCACCUACCUUGUAUCUUUAUAGUUUAUGAGCACCUCUGAGGAAAAAUUACAUAUAGAAUUUUUUGAUGUUUCAUGACUUUCCUGUGAAUUUGCUGUGGACUUUUUCAUUUGCUAUUUCCAAAUUUAUCAUAGCCGUGCAAUAAAGAAGUCAGAGGAAAUUACCAGUCCUUUAUAUA